CGGGCGGGCUAGCAACGACGUGAUAAAUCUGGGCCGAAAUAGUGGCUUUACGUGCAAGAUUGGUGGUAAUUGCUGCGGUACGACGAGCAGCACAGUGAACUGAUUAUGUGAGGCGAAAAAUGGCCUGGGUGCGUGUGCGUACGGCAGGUACAUCGAGGGAGAAUUGAUGGUCGUCACCUUUCACCUUGUCAGACGAACGAAUAUGAACUUUCAACACAACCCUCUUCGAAAACGUCCCGCGGCCUCCACUGGAUCGUCAGUGGUGACGUCUGAAGCACGAACUGGUUCUGGUGACGUGGCCGGCUGGACGGGCGGCCGCCGGUCGGCGGGCCUGAGAGCGGGGCUCAUCCCGACGCACGUGCCCAAG